GAGGGCUGGGGAAGGGCUGCUGGGCGGCGGGGCCGCGGCCCAGCCUCGUACCAGCCAGCCUCACCCGCGCCCCAGAUGAACCCCGGGGGGCCCCGGCGGGCCCCGGCCGUGCAGUAACAGGUGUGAGCAUUCAUGCAGCAUUCUGGUGGUCAUGUAUGAUACUGCACACAGCA